rnacentral:ncRNA from 2 species
AUCGGAUCCGUCUGAGCUUGGCUG